rnacentral:rRNA from 1 species
CCUACGGGAGGCAGCAGUGAGGAAUAUUGGUCAAUGGACGAGAGUCUGAACCAGCCAAGUAGCGUGAAGGAUGACUGCCCUAUGGGUUGUAAACUUCUUUUAUAUGGGAAUAAAACGUUCCACGUGUGGGAUUUUGUAUGUACCAUAUGAAUAAGGAUCGGCUAACUCCGUGCCAGCAGCCGCGGUAAUACGGAGGCUCCGAGCGUUAUCCGGAUUUAUUGGGUUUAAAGGGAGCGUAGGUGGAUUGUUAAGUCAGUUGUGAAAGUUUGCGGCUCAACCGUAAAAUUGCAGUUGAAACUGGCAGUCUUGAGUACAGUAGGGGUGGGCGGAAUUCGUGGUGUAGCGGUGAAAUGCUUAGAUAUCACGAAGAACUCCGAUUGCGAAGGCAGUUCACUGGACUGCAACUGACACUGAGGCUCGAAAGUGUGGGUAUCAAACAGGAUUAGAUACCCUAGUAGUC